UAGAGAGAGAGAAUUAUAUUGAGCCCAAUACGAGCGAGUGUUCAAUUCAUUAAGAUUUCGAAUUGAAUUCGUGUUUGGCUCGUUUAUUAAAUAAGCAAUCGAUCUCGAACGCAUUUUGAGCUGAACACAGAGCUAGCUCGCGAACAGCGAGCUGAAUUACUAGUUCUAGUCUAAAAUUUUCAAUAGAAAAAAAUACCCCUCUAA
rnacentral:lncRNA from 1 species